GGCCUGCAACUCUAAACUUUUACUAAACUCUACUAAUAGUACACGACUAGUAUUUGUAGUAUUUUUAGUAUUUACCAAUCAAAGCAACGUUGCCAACGACGGUUGUCAAGCGUACUUUGUUAUUUAGUUUUAUCACGUCAGCUCGUUCAACCACAGUAAACGCAAAAAUCAGGUUUCAGACAAGGUUCCAGGCUAGGAUUUGAAGAUGCGAAAAGGACGAAAAAUACCAGGGCCUUGAUCUAGAUGAACAGCGGAUCAGCGGAUUGAUAUUGGGCAAAUGCAUCUGAGUUUGAGCCAAGGAUUGAACCCCCGUGCGAAUUUUUGCACACUAACCCAACAAAAUCACAACAAUAAUGGCGUAUUUGUUCGAACCGUUUAACUACUACUAUUGAACCAAGCGAAGAACCUAGUUCAAAUUUCCGGUUUCCAAUAGAGAAAUCAAUAAAAUGCUACAAAUAAAUUGACAUGUGUUAAUGUA